UACGAGGGGGGCGAGCGUUGUUCGGAAUUAUUGGGCGUAAAGGGUGCGUAGGCGGCGCGGUAAGUCGGGUGUGAAAUCUUGGAGCUUAACUCCGAAACUGCAUUCGAUACUGCCGUGCUUGAGGACUGGAGAGGAGACUGGAAUUUACGGUGUAGCGGUGAAAUGCGUAGAUAUCGUAAGGAAGACCAGUGGCGAAGGCGGCUCACUGGCCCGAUACUGACGCUGAGGCACGAAAGCGUGGGGAGCAAACAGG
rnacentral:rRNA from 1 species